rnacentral:rRNA from 1 species
GUAGGGUGCGAGGCGUUAAUCGGAAUUACUGGCGUAAGGCGUGACGCAGGCGGUUUGUUAAGUACAGAUGUGAAAUCCCCGGGCUUAAACCUCGGGGAACUGCCAUUUGUGACUUGGCAAGCUAGAGUAUGGCAGAGGGGGGUAGAAUUCCACGGGUGUAGCAGUGAAAUGCGUAGAGAAUGUGGAGGAAUACCGAUGGCGGAAGGCAGCCCCCUGGGCCAAUACUGACCGGCCUCAUGCACGAAAGCGUAGGGGAGC